rnacentral:rRNA from 1 species
AUUGAACGCUGGCGGCAUGCGUAACACAUGCAAGUCGAACGGUUUCUGGUGCUUGCACCGGAGAUAGUGGCGGACGGGUGAGUAAUACGUAGGAAUCUGUCUUAGAGAGGGGGACAACCUGAGGAAACUUAGGCCAAAACCGCAUAAACUCAGAAGAGAAAAGCAGGGGACCGGAAACGGCCUUGUGCGCUAAGGUGAGCCUACGUCGGAUUAGCUAGUUGGGGGGGUAAAGGCCUACCAAGGCGAUGAUCUGUAGCUGGUCUGAGAGGACGGACAGCCACACUGGGACUGAGACACGGCCCAGACUGCUACGGGAGGCAGCAGUGGGGAAUAUUGGACAAUGGGGGGAACCCUGAUCCAGCGAUGCCGCGUGUGUGAAGAAGGCCUGCGGGUUGUAAAGCACUUUCAGUUGGAAAGAGAAGCGAGAUGAGAAUAUUGUUUCGUGGAGACGUUACUAACAGAAGAAGCACCGGCUAACUCUGUGCCAGCCGCCGCAGUAA